rnacentral:rRNA from 1 species
UACGUAGGGUGCGAGCGUUGUCCGGAAUUAUUGGGCGUAAAGGGCUCGUAGGCGGUUUGUCGCGUCGGGAGUGAAAACACUGGGCUUAACUCAGUGCUUGCUUCCGAUACGGGCAGACUAGAGGUAUUCAGGGGAGAACGGAAUUCCUGGUGUAGCGGUGAAAUGCGCAGAUAUCAGGAGGAACACCGGUGGCGAAGGCGGUUCUCUGGGCAGUAACUGACGCUGAGGAGCGAAAGCGUGGGGAGCGAACAGG